rnacentral:misc_RNA from 1 species
AAGUCGUAACAAGGUUUCCGUAGGUGAACCUGCGGAAGGAUCAUUACUGAGUUCAUGCCCUUACGGGUAGAUCUCCCACCCUUGAAUAUCUAAACCUUUGUUGCUUUGGCGGGCCGCUUCGGCUACCGGCUCCGGCUGGUGAGUGCCCGCCAGAGAACCUUAAACUCUGAAUUACAGUGUCGUCUGAGUACUAUAAAAUAGUUAAAACUUUUAACAACGGAUCUCUUGGUUCUG